rnacentral:misc_RNA from 1 species
GAUGAAGAACGUAGCGAAAUGCGAUAAGUAAUGUGAAUUGCAGAAUUCAGUGAAUCAUCGAAUCUUUGAACGCACAUUGCGCCCGCCAGUAUUCUGGCGGGCAUGCCUGUUCGAGCGUCAUUUCAACCCUCAAGCCCCCGGGCUUGGUGUUGGGGAUCGGCGUGCCCUCGCGGCGCGCCGUCCCCUAAAUCUAGUGGCGGUCUCGCUGUAGCUUCCUCUGCGUAGUAGCAACACUCGCACUGGAUCGCAGCGCGGCCACGCCGUUAAACCCCCCACUUCUGAAAGUUUGACCUCGGAUCAGGUAGGAAUACCCGCUGAACUUAAGCAUAUCAAUAAGCGGAGAA